ACGCUGAAGGGCCUGGUUCAGGGCCUCGUCGGUGGCCGCGUCGCGAUCGGCGAGGUCGUAGGUGACGCCGUCGAGGGCGUCGACGCCGGCCUC
rnacentral:tRNA from 1 species